AACCAGCCCUGCCAGGACCCUGCAGCUCUGGCAAGGAGCCCAGCCCCAGGAUCCCAUUCUGUGAUCCAGAAAGAACACAGACCACCCGCCAUGGAGCUUCGGCUGCACUGGGUGGUCUUGUUUGCUCUCUUACAAGGUGUCCAGGGUGAGGAGAAGCUGGUGGAGUCUGGAGGAGGCCUGGUGCAGCCUGGGGGGUCUCUGAGACUCUCCUGUGUCGGCUCUGGAUUCACCUUCAGUAGUUAUCCCAUAGGCUGGGUCCGCCAGGCUCCAGGGAAGGGGCUGGAGUGGCUGGCAGAUAUUUGUAGUGGUGGUAGCACCUACUACGCAGACUCUGUGAAGGGCCGAUUCACCAUCUCCAAAGACAACUCCCAAAACACGGCCUAUCUGCAAAUGAACAGCCUGAGAACCGAAGACACGGCCCGCUAUUACUGUGCAAGAGGCACAGUGAGGGGAAAGCAGUCUGAGCCCAGACACAAACCUCCCUAG